rfam:Gossypium arboreum cultivar AKA8401 contig_52471_1, whole genome shotgun sequence.
AACCCAUGGUGAGGCCACCUUCUCAAUAAAUCUUUUUACCUCUCCCAUGCAUUAUAUAAAGUUUCUAAAUCCAUUUGCACAAAGGAAGAGAUAUCAUUCCUCAAUUU